GACGAACGCUGGCGGCGUGCUUAACACAUGCAAGUCGAACGGAAAGGCCCUGCUUUUGUGGGGUGCUCGAGUGGCGAACGGGUGAGUAACACGUGAGUAACCUGCCCUUGACUUUGGGAUAACUUCAGGAAACUGGGGCUAAUACCGGAUAGGAGCUCCUGCUGCAUGGUGGGGGUUGGAAAGUUUCGGCGGUUGGGGAUGGACUCGGGGCUUAACAGCUUGUUGGUGGGGUAGUGGCUUACCCAGGCUUUGACGGGUAGCCGGCCUGGGAGGGUGAACGGGCACAUUGGGACUGCGAUACGGCCCAGACUCGUACGGGAGACAGCAGUGGGGAAUAUUGUACAAUGGGCGGAAGCGUGAUGCAGAGGCGCCGCGUGCGGGAUGACGGCCUUCGUGUUGUAAAGCGCAUUCGCCUGUGACGAAGCGUGAGUGACGGUAAUGGGUAAAGAAGCACCGGCUAACUACGUG
rnacentral:rRNA from 1 species